rnacentral:rRNA from 1 species
UUCCGGUUGAUCCUGCCGGACCCCACUGCUAUCGGGAUGGGACUAAGCCAUGCAAGUCGUAUGUUGAGAGCGCGGCGAACGGCUCCGUAACACGUAGUUAACCUACCCUCGGGACGGGGAUAACCCCGGGAAACUGGGAUUAAUACCUGCUAGAUGAUUCUGCCUGGAAUGGCUUAUCAUCGAAAGGAACAAGCGCCCGAGGAUGGGGCCGCGUCCGAUCAGGUUGUUGGUGAGGUAACGGCUCACCAAGCCUUUUACCGGUGCGGGCCGUGGGAGCGGGAGCCCGGAGAUGGGCACUGAGACAAGGGCCCAGGCCCUACGGGGCGCAGCAGUCGCGAAAACUUUGCAAUACACGAAAGUGUGACAGGGCUAUCCCGAGUGCCAUCCGCUGAGGAAGGCUUUUACCCAGUGUAGAUAGCUGGGAGAAUAAGGAGAGGGCAAGAUCUGGUGUCAGCCGCCGCGGUAAUACCAGCUCUCCGAGUGGUGUGGAUGUUUAUUGGGCCUAAAGCAUCCGUAGCUGGCUGGGCAAGUCCCCUGUUAAAUCCACCGAUUCAAUCGUUGGUGUGCGGGGGAUACUGUUCGGCUAGGGGACGGGAGAGGCCGACGGUAUUUUCGGGGUAGGGGUGAAAUCCUAUAAUCCCGGAAGGACCACCAGUGGCGAAGGCUGUCGGCUAGAACGCGCCCAACGGUGAGGGAUGAAAGCUGGGGGAGCGAACCGGAUUAGAUACCCGGGUAGUCCCAGCUGUAAACGAUGCAGGCUAGGUGUUUGGGCGGCCACGUGCCGCUCUAGUGCCGCAAAGAAGUUGUUAAGCCUGCCGCCUGGGGAGUACGGCCGCAAGGCUGAAACUUAAAGGAAUUGGCGGGGGAGCACCACAAGGGGUGAAGCUUGCGGUUUAAUUGGAGUCAACGCCGGA